UGAACGAGACCAAGUCUGAUGUGCAUUUAAAAUGACACAGAUUUACUUUACAGUCCCUCAAUACAUCAAAUAAGAAUGUCUGGAACAAUAGGGAGAGAGGCUGGUAAAGUGCACACAGUGCAGUGUGCACUAGGAUGACAUCUGAUCAAUGCGUGUGGGAUUCCCCUCUCAACGAGUCUGAUACCUCAUUCGUCUGACCUGCAGUGACCACAUCAGAGAUUGCUUUCCACUGACUAAACCUCCAUGACACACACCGAAGAUAUAGCCUCAAGACAUCACGUAGCCGUGGAACUUGACUACAAUGGCCUGCAGCAUGGCAUCAAAGCCGGCCUCGGGGGUGUCCAUGUUCCCAGAGAUCGUCUGCUGCUGGACGACGCGUGUGAACUCCG